rnacentral:rRNA from 1 species
GUGAGGAAUAUUGGUCAAUGGACGAGAGUCUGAACCAGCCAAGUCGCGUGAAGGAAGACGGUUCUAUGAAUUGUAAACUUCUUUUGUGCAGGAAUAAAGUGGGUUACGUGUAACCUUUUGUAUGUACUGUACGAAUAAGGAUCGGCUAACUCCGUGCCAGCAGCCGCGGUAAUACGGAGGAUCCGAGCGUUAUCCGGAUUUAUUGGGUUUAAAGGGUGCGUAGGUGGAUUGGUAAGUCAGCGGUGAAAGUUUGCAGCUUAACUGUAAAAUUGCCGUUGAAACUGUCGGUCUUGAGUGCAAAUGAGGUAGGCGGAAUGUGUUGUGUAGCGGUGAAAUGCUUAGAUAUAACACAGAACUCCGAUUGCGAAGGCAGCUUACUGGGAUGCAACUGACACUGAUGCACGAAAGCGUGGGUAUCAAACAGGAUUAGAAACCCCAGUAGUCC